UACGUAGGGGGCAAGCGUUGUCCGGAUUUAUUGGGCGUAAAAGGCUUGUAGGUGGCCACGCCAAGUCGGAUGUGAAAUCUCCCGGCUCAACUGGGAGGGGUCAUUCGAUACUGGUGGGCUCGAGGCCGGUAGGGGGAAGUGGAAUUCCCGGUGUAGUGGUGGAAUGCGUAGAUAUCGGGAGGAACACCUAUGGCGAAGGCAGCUCGCUGGGACGUUACUGACGCUGAGACGCGAAAGCGUGGGGAGCAAACAGG
rnacentral:rRNA from 1 species